UACGUAGGGGGCUAGCGUUGCUCGGAAUUACUGGGCGUAAAGCGCACGUAGGCGGCUUCUUAAGUCGGUGGUGAAAUCCUGGAGCUCAACUCCAGAACUGCCUUCGAUACUGGGAAGCUCGAGUCCGGGAGAGGUGAGUGGAACUGCGAGUGUAGAGGUGAAAUUCGUAGAUAUUCGCAAGAACACCAGUGGCGAAGGCGGCUCACUGGCCCGGUACUGACGCUGAGGUGCGAAAGCGUGGGGAGCAAACAGG
rnacentral:rRNA from 1 species